rnacentral:lncRNA from 1 species
CUGUCAUCUUUGUCUUAUUCUUUGAGUUUCUUAAUCUCUCACCAUCGUUUCUCACUCUGUGAACUUUUCAGCCACGUGGGUCAUGGCAGACAAUCACCAGGCAGAUUGUGACACCAAGCAGAUUGUGACUCAGAGAAAUUGCAUUCAUUUAUAACCAGGGUGCCUCAGAAGAAGAAACUAGAGUGCAGUUGACGGCAGAUAGGAGACCGAGCAAUGUUGGAAAUCACCUUAUACUCACCCUGCACCAUGGAUCAUCUCAUGAACAUAUGUCACAAGGGAGUGUGCUCAAAUUGAUGUUAUGUUUCAUAUGUAAUGACAGUUGUGAGAGUAACACAGUAUCUAAUGAGGACCCACUACUUGUGAGAUAUCUGGAACUGCUCCAGUUUUGUCACUCCAAGUCCUACUGCAAAUAAAAGAGAAGAAUUUACAUGAACUGCUGAGAAUAUAAAAAGAAAUGAUGGAAGAAUUAAUUACUUUGGUCCCUCAUCAGGACUGAAAUAGGCAGAGAGUGACUCACAAGCCCAGAAAGAGAAGAAGGUGACUGCUUGCAGGAGUGACAUCCUGAAUAGUAGGCUGGGUCCCUGAAGAGAAGGCAGAAAAGUGGGGAGCUGGUGGCUGCACUC